rnacentral:misc_RNA from 1 species
CAGAACACUGUUAGAGUUCCAGGCUUUGGUUAAUCGGAGAAAAUUUUUGAAAUCAGCUUUAAUAGAAAACUCGUGUUCAAUUUCUGAUGCAUGCUAUAGGAAUACCGGAAUUGAGGAUCUUGCUCUUGACUUUACUGUUCCUGGAUAUCCUGAUUAUAUUCUUCACCAAGAUCACAAAUUGGUAAAUAUGGAUAACUUGGAGGAGUAUGUUUCUCUUGUUGUGGACGCUACCAUACAUGCUGGAAUUGCCAGACAAGUUGAAGCUUUCAAAUCUGGAUUUAAUCAGGUUUUUCCAAUCAAGCAUCUUCAGAUUUUCUUUGAGGAGGAAUUAGAGAGAUUGCUAUGUGGAGAACGUGAUUUUUGGGCUUUUAAUGAGCUGUUGGAUCAUAUCAAAUUUGAUCAUGGAUAUGCUGCUAGCAGUCCUCCAAUCACUAAUUUA